rnacentral:rRNA from 1 species
UACGUAGGGUGCAAGCGUUAAUCGGAAUUACUGGGCGUAAAGCGUGCGCAGGCGGUUUUGUAAGUCUGUCGUGAAAUCCCCGGGCUCAACCUGGGAAUUGCGAUGGAGACUGCAAGGCUAGAAUCUGGCAGAGGGGGGUAGAAUUCCACGUGUAGCAGUGAAAUGCGUAGAGAUGUGGAGGAACACCGAUGGCGAAGGCAGCCCCCCUGGGUCAAGAUUGACGCUCAUGCACGAAAGGCGUGGGGAGCAA